UACGUAGGGGGGCGAGCGUUGUCCGGAGUACUGGGCGUAAAGCGCACGCAGGCGGUCUGCUAAGUUUGGAGUGACAGUUGGUGGCUUAACUGCCAAAGUGCUUCGAAAAACUGACAGACUUGAGGGCUUCAGAGGGACACGGAAUUCCGGGUGGAGUGGUGAAAUGCGUAGAUAUCAAGAGGAACACCAGUGGCGAAGGCGAGUCCCUGGACAACUUCUGACGCUGAGGCACGAAAGCUAGGGGAGCAAACAGG
rnacentral:rRNA from 1 species